rnacentral:tRNA from 1 species
UCCUUGGUGGUCUAGUGGCUAAAACUCCGUGUUCCCAAUGCAGGGGGCUCAGGUUCGAUUCCUAGUCAGGGAA